UACGGGAGGCAGCAGUAGGGAAUCUUCCGCAAUGGACGAAAGUCUGACGGAGCAACGCCGCGUGAACGAUGAAGGCUUUCGGGUCGUAAAGUUCUGUUGUUAGGGAAGAACAAGUACCAGAGUAACUGCUGGUACCUUGACGGUACCUAACCAGAAAGCCACGGCUAACUACGUGCCAGCAGCCGCGGUAAUACGUAGGUGGCAAGCGUUGUCCGGAAUUAUUGGGCGUAAAGCGCGCGCAGGUGGUCCUUUAAGUCUGAUGUGAAAGCCCACGGCUCAACCGUGGAGGGUCAUUGGAAACUGGGGACUUGAGUGCAGAAGAGGAAAGUGGAAUUCCACGUGUAGCGGUGAAAUGCGUAGAGAUGUGGAGGAACACCAGUGGCGAAGGCGACUUUUCUGGUCUGUAACUGACACUGAGGCGCGAAAGCGUGGGGAGCGAACAGGGAUUAGAUACC
rnacentral:rRNA from 1 species